UAAGACGAACCGUGCGAACGUUGUUCGGAAUCACUGGGCUUAAAGGGCGCGUAGGCGGGCUGUUUAGUCUGGGGUGAAAUCUUUCGGCUUAACCGGAAAAGUGCCUCGGAUACUGGCAGUCUUGAGGGAGGUAGGGGCAGGUGGAACUUCCGGUGGAGCGGUGAAAUGCGUUGAUAUCGGAAGGAACGCCGGUGGCGAAAGCGGCCUGCUGGAUCUCUUCUGACGCUGAGGCGCGAAAGCUAGGGGAGCGAACGGGAUUAGAUACCCCGGUAGUCCUAGCCCUAAACGAUGGGUACUAGGUAGCGGACUUAACAUGGGUUCGCUGCCGAAGCAAAAGUGGUAAGUACCCCGCCUGGGGAGUAUGGUCGCAAGGCUG
rnacentral:rRNA from 1 species